rnacentral:lncRNA from 1 species
GGAUUCAGACCAGAAGAAAGAUAGGUCCACCUUAGACCUGGGUACAGUAGAGUUUGCUUGAUACCCUGAACCCUGCCUGGAGAUAGAGGGAACCUAGUGUUGGGGGGGUCCCCCUCAAACUGGGGGUAUAGUGCAGUACACUCUUGCCUGCUGCUGUGACCCCAUAUCUGAAUCCAAGGUGAUUUCCAUGUCUUGCCGUGGCACUGGCUUUCCUAGAGGUGUCUGGAGUUUUCGUAGCACAUCAAAUCCAGAGAGUGGAGGCCAAUAGCACCCUUUCCUUUCAAAUGAGAGACAUGGGCUCUACCGGCUAGCAGCUUAGGCUAUCCUCUCUGUCCACUUCCUGUUGGUGGCAGGCGUCCAUGGGUGCCAGGCAGUCCCAGGAAGGCUGCUGCAGAGCCUUUAGCUUUAGGGAGCCUGGAAAGAAGGAAGAUGAUGAUUAAAGCUACCUUCCCCUCCCCCACUCAAGUUUAGCCAUUCAUUUCCGGUUUGAACAUUCAUGGCUGAGAACAGAGCCAAGCACAGGGCAAGGUUUGACGGAGGCCAAGGACAUCCCAGGAUACCGUUCCCCUCUCCGCCCCUGCAGAGGAACAAGACAGAACCAAAUGUGCCCAUUUCUCUCAGGGGUAACAGGAUUUGGGGUCUCUGUGUUGAGAGGAAACUCAGAGGAGAAGAUAAAGUGCCUUUUGCUACUGUUCUCCACCCUGGCUCUCCUUCCCGGCUGUUCUUUCAGCUAAUUAACAAGCUCCGGGGCUUUCUUAACCCUCUGGAGAGCUGGUGCCUGUUGCAUGGGCCUGGGCCUUAACUCCUUCACCUCUGCCUGUGGGCAGGACUCUGGGUGCAUGGACCUUGUGCAGACUGUUUCACUGGGGAGACAUUCUGGGAGCCAUGGACAUCCUUGGAAGGGCAGGCCAACCAGAGAGACACCCUCUCGAGAAUCUGCCUACCUCUCACUGUCAAGGAGAGCCUCUGCAGACCUCGGCCAGCCUGGAGCAGGUGCCUUUAAAUGCUUCCGUGGCAACCAGCUCCUUCCCCAACGCCCAGACCUUACCAAGAGGCACUUGUUACUCCAGCAAAGAGGAGAUUGCAGAUAGAACCCAGGGCCGCCUGGGAUGGAUCUGGGGUCCGAAAGUAGUGAGUGUGAGGACGAUGUCACCUUCCAGCUGUGGCUCCAGCUGUUCCUCUGGGCCCAUCUGGCUGUCCGUUUCCUGGGUUACCUGCGCUGCACUUUCUGGGGACUAAAGCCUCAGUCAGCACCCUGAAUCCGGGCUGGGAACUGAUGGGCCCCAGUUUGCCCCAUGAUACCCAACCCCCAUGCCAUACUGUGCUGGGAGAGGCAGGCAGCAGGUGAGUGUGGGGUUCCUGGGUUAGGUACUUGCUGUCUACUACCACCUCCUUUGCAUGCUGUGUUUUUUGAGAGGCCUACCUUGUACUUGAGAUCCUUCUAUCUUAGCCUCCUAAUUCUGGGAUUAUAGCCCAGUAUAUUCUUUUGUGUUGUCAUGCUAGGGAUAGAACCUAGGCCUUGUUCACAUUGGCAAGUGCUCUACCACUGCUCCAGUCCCUUAUUCUUUCAGUACAGGUUCUUGCUGUAUAUCCUAGGCUGCCCUUGAACUCAAAAUCCUGCCUCGGAUCUUGAUACUUUAAGUCUGUGGUGCCAUUCUAACCCUGCUCCUCUUGGCACUGUCCCCCCUCUGCCGUGACCCCAAAUGUCUACGAGUAGUGGCUCAUAUGCGCCCCCAUACUAGUGAGCCUGAGUCAGGAGGACUGCUCAGAGUUCAGAGAAGGCCUGGGCUCUAUAGUGAGUUCCAUGUCAUACCGGGCUACAGUGUAAGAUCCUAUCUCAGAAAAUCAAGACGGGCUGGCUGUGGUAGUGCAAGCCUUUCAUUCUAGCACUGGGAAGGCAGAGGCAGAUAGAUCUCUGUGAGUUUGAAGCUGAUCUAGAAUCAAUACAGAGUGAGUUCCAGGACAGCUAGGUCUAUUUAGAGAG